rnacentral:misc_RNA from 1 species
GGGGUGUUGAUUUUCAGUUAAAAAACCAAACUGAACACCGAACUCCGAAAUUUUCUAAAUUCUAUAACCAAACCGAUUUAACAGAAAAAUUAAACUAAAUCUGGUUGGUUUCGUUUUGGUUAAAACCGUUCUAUGCUUACCCCUAUACUUGAUUUUAACUGUUUAUAGGGUCUACUCCUAUUUGGAUUGGGUGUUCCCUUCAUUACUAGCCUGGAAAUGCCCAACCUCAACAAAGUUAUGGAUCAUAGAACAACCUCCCGAGCAUCAUUAUCAAUGCAAUCCAUCUUCACUGUAAUCACAUUGGUCACGCAUAUGGGCCUGUAGGUGGUCACGCAUAUGGGCCCGUAGGUAGUAAC